GCCGAAAUAGCUCAGUUGGGAGAGCGUUAGACUGAAGAUCUAAAGGUCCGGGUUUCGCACAGACUUGCACCUUUGUGUUAGCA